rnacentral:rRNA from 1 species
UCAGGAUGAACGCUGGCGGUCUGCUUAACACAUGCAAGUCGAACGGGCUCUUCGGAGCUAGUGGCGGACGGGUGAGUAACGCGUGAGAAUCUGCCUUCAGGAGGGGGAUAACGACUGGAAACGGUCGCUAAUACCCCAUAUGCCUCCGGGUGAAAAGUAAUUCGCCUGAAGAUGAGCUCGCGUCAGAUUAGCUAGUUGGUGGGGUAAGAGCCUACCAAGGCGACGAUCUGUAGCUGGUCUGAGAGGAUGAUCAGCCACACUGGGACUGAGACACGGCCCAGACUCCUACGGGAGGCAGCAGUGGGGAAUUUUCCGCAAUGGGCGCAAGCCUGACGGAGCAAGACCGCGUGGGGGAUGACGGCCUAAUGGUUGUAAACCCCUUUUCUCUGGGAAGAAGACUGACGGUACCAGAGGAAUCAGCCUCGGCUAACUCCGUGCCAGCAGCCGCGGUAAUACGGAGGAGGCAAGCGUUAUCCGGAAUUAUUGGGCGUAAAGCGUCCGUAGGUGGUUAUUCAAGUCUGCUGUCAAAGCGUGGGGCUUAACUCCAUAGAGGCAGUGGAAACUGAGUGACUAGAGUGCGGUAGGGGUCGAGGGAAUUCCCAGUGUAGCGGUGAAAUGCGUAGAUAUUGGGAAGAACACCAGUGGCGAAAGCGCUCGACUGGGCCUGCACUGACACUGAGGGACGAAAGCUAGGGGAGCGAAAGGGAUUAGACACCCCUGUAGUCCUAGCCGUAAACGAUGGAUACUAGGUGUUGCUCGUCAUCGACCCGAGCAGUGCCGUAGCCAACGCGUUAAGUAUCCCGCCUGGGGAGUACGCUCGCAAGAGUGAAA